rnacentral:rRNA from 1 species
CCUACGGGUGGCAGCAGUGGGGAAUAUUGCACAAUGGGGGAAACCCUGAUGCAGCGACGCCGCGUGAGUGAAGAAGUCUUUCGGUACGUAAAGCUCUAUCAGCAGGGAAGAAAAUGACGGUACCUGACUACGAAGCCCCGGCUAACUACGUGCCAGCAGCCGCGGUAAUACGUAGGGGGCAAGCGUUAUCCGGAUUUACUGGGGGUAAAGGGAGCGUAGACGGCGAUGCAAGUCUGAAGUGAAAGGCGGGGGGCCAACCCCCGGACUGCUUUGGAAACUGUAUGGCUGGAGUGCGGGAGAGGUAAGUGGAAUUCCUAGUGUAGCGGUGAAAUGCGUAGAUAUUAGGAGGAACACCAGUGGCGAAGGCGGCUUACUGGACUGUAACUGACGUUGAGGCUCGAAAGCGUGGGGAGCAAACAGGAUUAGAUACCCCGGUAGUC